UUCCCUUCACUUUCUCACACACAAGCAUUACCCAUAAUUAUCUUCUUAAUUUGUUUCUUCACAAGCAUCCACAUAUCACAGAACAUAGACAAAGAGAGUAAAAUCAGAAAGCAGAGCAGAGCAAAAACCACAAGGCAGACGCAGAGAAAGAGAGUAAAAUCAGAAAGCAGAGCAAAAACCACAAGACAGCUCAAAAAUCAGCAGACUCAGUAAUUUGUGAGCGAGCACAUAGUAAUUCUUCUUCCUUCAGUUGAGUUUUUUUAAGUAGGUAGAAUUUUUUUACA
rnacentral:lncRNA from 1 species